GAUUUGUAUGAAUUACGAAUCCAGAAACCAUCCAAUGAGGCAAAACAGUUGGAAUUUUAGCUCCUAAAUCCAAUUAUCUCCAAAGUUUCCAAAAAAGUGAUACAUCUGAGGAGACAAUUAAUAAGCUCAAUGCAGAGAAACAUAUGGUUCAGUACUCAAAAACACAAAUUUCCAGUUAUUGUUGCAUGGACUGGAACUUCUUCAUGAUGAGCAUGCUCAAGUCCAUGUACCGUUGAGCACAAUUGGUAAGGCAAGCUGAUUCACUGGAGCUGAACUUACUGCCAGGAGUACCAGUGAUGCACUUAUCCCAGCAUUCAUUCGUAAGUUUCCCAACCAUCUCACUGACCAUAGCUUUUUGCUUCUCUUGCUACAGUAAACAACACCCAUCGUUUAAAAAAUAAUUUAUUUAGAGGAACUAAAGAUCAGAAUAAAGGAGAAAAGAACAGGGAAUUGGGGAUUCCCUUUUAGUUAGUUUCUUGUAAAAAUUCAUGGAAGAUG
rnacentral:lncRNA from 1 species